AACGAACGCUGGCGGCAUGCCUAACACAUGCAAGUCGAACGAGACCUUCGGGUCUAGUGGCGCACGGGUGCGUAACGCGUGGGAACCUGCCCUUAGGUUCGGAAUAACUCCCCGAAAGGGGUGCUAAUACCGGAUAAUGUCUUCGGACCAAAGAUUUAUCGCCUUUGGAUGGGCCCGCGUUGGAUUAGCUAGUUGGUAGGGUAAAAGCCUACCAAGGCGACGAUCCAUAGCUGGUCUGAGAGGUUGAUCAGCCACACUGGGACUGAGACACGGCCCAGACUCCUACGGGAGGCAGCAGUGGGGAAUAUUGGACAAUGGGCGAAAGCCUGAUCCAGCAAUGCCGCGUGAGUGAUGAAGGCCUUAGGGUUGUAAAGCUCUUUUACCCGGGAUGAUAAUGACAGUACCGGGAGAAUAAGCUCCGGCUAACUCCGU
rnacentral:rRNA from 1 species